rnacentral:rRNA from 1 species
UACGGAGGGUGCGAGCGUUGUCCGGAAUCAUUGGGCGUAAAGGGCGCGAGUAGGUGGCCCGGUCAGUCUUUGGUGAAAGCGCGGGGCUCAACCCUGGCGUCGGCCAGGGAUACUGCCGCGGCUCGAGCACUGUAGAGGCAGCGGAAUUCCGGGUGUAGCGGUGGAAUGCGUAGAGAUCCGGAAGAACACCGGUGGCGAAGGCGGCCUGCUGGGCAGUUGCUGACACUGAGGCGCGACAGCGGUGGGGAGCAAACAGG